rnacentral:rRNA from 1 species
GACGGAAGGUGCAAGCGUUGCUCGGAAUUACUGGGCGUAAAGCGUGCGCAGGCGGUUAUGUAAGACAGCUGUGAAAUGCCCGGGCUUAACCUGGGAACUGCAUUUGUGACUGCAUGGCUAGAGUUUGGCAGAGGGGGGUAGAAUUCCACGUGUAGCAGUGAAAUGCGUAGAUAUGUGGAGGAAUACCGAUGGCGAAGGCAGCCCCCUGGGAUAACACUGACGCUCAUGCACGAAAGCGUGGGGAGCAAACAGG